CCUACGGGAUGCAGCAGUGAGGAAUAUUGGUCAAUGGUCGGGAGACUGAACCAGCCAAGUCGCGUGAGGGAUGAAGGUACAGAGUAUCGUAAACCUCUUUUGUCAGGGAACAAAGGCGGGGACGCGUCCCCGGAUGAGUGUACCUGAAGAAAAAGCAUCGGCUAACUCCGUGCCAGCAGCCGCGGUAAUACGGAGGAUGCGAGCGUUAUCCGGAUUUAUUGGGUUUAAAGGGUGCGCAGGCGGUCUUUUAAGUCAGCGGUAAAAGCCCGGGGCUCAACCCCGGCCCGCCGUUGAAACUGGCAGUCUCGAGUUGGAGAGAAGUAUGCGGAAUGCGCGGUGUAGCGGUGAAAUGCAUAGAUAUCGCGCAGAACUCCGAUUGCGAAGGCAGCAUGCCGGCUCCACACUGACGCUGAGGCACGAAAGCGUGGGUAUCGAACAGGAUUAGAUACCCUAGUAGUC
rnacentral:rRNA from 1 species